rnacentral:lncRNA from 1 species
AACAAACCCACCGUAGAACCAACUCUCUGUUUACCCCUUCUAUCUUCUGUUGACGCCAGCGACCUUCUUUUUCCACCAACGCCGACGGCACUCGGAUUGGAACAAAACGUCGCCCUCUUCCGUCCAGGCCCUCUUUUCCUUCUGCCAACGACUGCGGGGAAACUGGAAUCAACGAAUGAUUGAUUCUAGGCCGAAAAAACUGGCAACUGGAAUCCACGGCUUUCUUCCACCAAUGAAGACGGCAACGGGAUCGGUACAAAACAUCACCCUUUUCUAUCUGCGGGGAAACUGGAAACAUCGCUCCUCCUCCCUUCUCUAAGAGCCGUCGAUCUAGUAAAUUUCAUCUAUAGUAUCAGUGUCGGGUUCUUCGUUUAUUGAGAUUGUUCUCCAUUUUUAAUUCAGCGGUUUGGAGAAGAGAUUAGUGGAUUAUGGUCUGGGUAUGAUUCAUAUGAUUUGUUAAUGUAGUGAUGAAAAUGUAAUUGAAAUUUUGGCCUCGAGAUGUUUGAUGUUAUUUAGAAAUCGCAGCCAUGUAUGUAGAUGUUUGAGCAUUCAGAUGUUUUGAGUGUUGUGUUUUGGUUGUUAUUAGAGCAUGGAUUUGGUGGAACCUGAAGAUGGUAUUCAAAGUAUCUUCUCAUGGAUGUUCGUAUUGUGUACAUUAAGAUAGAUUUUCGGGCUGCUGGGUUCAUAGCAUCUGGGAUUACACCGAAAUAUGCUAAAAGAAUAUGGUCAGUAUAUUAGCACCCAACUAUCUACACUUGGACAUGACUGCUUCUGUAUCUUAUGUGAUUCUCAAUGCGAGAAACGAUAUUUUCCUGACAAAUUAGGCUGCAUCUUUAGGUUAAUGGCUUCGGUAGAGGAAGGAGAUUGGACUAAUCAACAACUGUAUACUUCGAAUCAGGUGAUGAACGAAAAGCCACGAAAUUACUUGCACCUGCGGACGAGCUUUCUACCGAAUUAUUCUGGAGGUCGGCCUUCCAAUUAAUCCAGCGGGUAAAGUGACCUCGCUCUCAAUGAUCUUUAAUUGCUCUGUUGAUAGUUUGAUAAAAAAAAGAUUGCUCUGUUGAAAGGUGAGUAUAUGAGUCGAGGGCGAUAUUGGGUGUGUAUCAUGUGACGAUUAUUAUAAGGAUACGAUGGUGAUUGGUGAUUGAGUUGAAUAAGUAGAAAAGUGGAAAUAGGUGGGGAAUAUAUAGACGGAUAUUAGC